CUGAGAGCACAGCUACGUCUGACCAGGAGUAGCUGUGAAACUGCUGUGACUCGCGACAGCACACGGCUGGGCUUCCUCUGGGGUGAAACUAGACCUGACCGGGAGCUGCAGCCACCGCAGACUAGAAAUGUGCUCUCUUCGGAAGGCAAUGAGGCGUGCACGAGGACUGGGCACCCACAACCCGUGAGACAUGGCCAUGCUGUAAUGCAGCAACUGAGUCAUGUUAAUGUUUAAUCUACGCUUUGCCCGCAGAUACUACAAAGAUGCCACCUUCACCCUGUCCGCUCAGGCUCAGAGGUAACGCUGGGCUUUGGAGCAAUAUUUUGCGAAGGCAGCCCAGUGCAGAGGCUCUGACAGCGACCAGGUUCCCCCAGCAAGACUCCAGCUCCUGCCCAGGCUAAA